CGGGGGGUGGGGGGCUGGGAAUUGGACGCGAUUCACCAACCCUAAACCGAAUCAACAUUGUGGGGUCUUUCUCCGGUGGUUUCCCCCGUGCGGUUUAUAAAAAGAAACUCCGAUGCACUGCGCGUGAAUUCCCAAGUUUGUGUUCACCAAAAAUGCCCCUUGAGAGGUUUGAUGGUGGUGCCGCCAGCGCCUUGACACAGGUGUUUCGCGGCAACCGGUUCUCCUCACCUCUCAGCCACCCCCAAUUUU
rnacentral:telomerase_RNA from 1 species